rnacentral:rRNA from 1 species
ACGGAAGGCAGCAGUGGGGAAUAUUGGGCAAUGGGGGAAACCCUGACCCAGCAACGCCGCGUGAAGGAAGAAGGCCUUCGGGUUGUAAACUUCUUUUACCAGGGACGAUAAUGACGGUACCUGGAGAAAAAGCAACGGCUAACUACGUGCCAGCAGCCGCGGUAAUACGUAGGUUGCAAGCGUUGUCCGGAUUUACUGGGUGUAAAGGGCGUGUAGGCGGAGCUGCAAGUCAGAUGUGAAAUCCCGGGGCUCAACCCCGGAACUGCAUUUGUAACUGUAGCCCUUGAGUAUCGGAGAGGCAAGCGGAAUUCCUAGUGUAGCGGUGAAAUGCGUAGAUAUUAGGAGGAACACCAGUGGCGAAGGCGGCUUGCUGGACGACAACUGACGCUGAGGCGCGAAAGCGUGGGGAGCAAACAGGAUUAGAUACCCUGGUA